rnacentral:lncRNA from 1 species
GAAAAAAAAAAGACAGCUUUGAACAAAAGUCCACAGCCAGUGUGUUCCAAGUCCCUGCUCAGGGCUGACUGUGGCAGGGGACACUCUCCUGCUGGCUCUCUCUGUCCACACUUAGCUGGCUCCUGUCCUCAGGUGCACGGCCACACCCUUGCACCCAACCUUGAUCCUCUGAUGGGGAAGGUCCCAGGACUUGUCUGCUGGGACAGGCCUCACCCCCAAGAGCUCUGGGCAGUACUGAGAAGGGGAUUGCAGAGGCAAAGCUAGACUAGGUCUUGGAAGCUGGUGUAAGGCGGUGCGCGGAAGGCAGGACGCUGAUGGGAGAGACUGGUCGAAGAAAAGCCGAAAUGGAUUCUCCGUGCCUUGGAUGGAGAAAGAGGGGGGAAGUGCGAGCUCCUUCAACUCGUUCUGUCCGGUGAGGAGUGAUCCAGCUUGGGCUGACGAGAGGCUCCGGAGCCUUCACGUUCAGUGCUUUUUACCUGCCAAUCAAACUGCUACAAGACAACACCCUGAUCUGGCAUGGUCGCGCGCAUCGAACCUAGAAAUUGUACUCUCCUCAAUCCGCUUAAGAGAAUCUGGCUGAUGGCUUUGGUCUGAGAGUUCAGACAUCUCUUGUGCAGCUAAGAAAGACCUCAUUUUCCAUUUGCUGGAUCCUCCUGGUUUGUCAUCCCUGAAUCCUGUAAGAAGGUCAUCAGGAGGUCCCCUGCGCUAGAAG